rnacentral:pre_miRNA from 1 species
GUAAUACUCCCUCCGUCUGAAAAUUCUUGUCGGAGAAAUGGAUGUAUCUAGAUGUAUUUUAGUUCUGGAUACAUCCAUUUUUAUGCAUUUCUCCGACAAGUAUUUUUGGACGGAGGAAGUACUAU